UACGUAGGAGGCAAGCGUUGUUCGGAUUUACUGGGCGUAAAGGGCGCGUAGGCGGCGCGUAAAGUCGGACAUGAAAUCAUUAGGCUCAACCUAAUGGCUGUGUCCGAUACUUACGUGCUUGGAGUGCGGGAGAGGCAGCCGGAAGUCUCGGUGUAGCGGUGAAAUGCGUAGAUAUCGAGAGGAACACCGGUGACGAAGGUGGGUUGCUGGCCCGACACUGACGCUGAGGCGCGAAAGCUAGGGGAGCAAACGGG
rnacentral:rRNA from 1 species